ACGGGGUGCAGCAGGCGCGAAACCUUUGCAAUGUGCGCAAGCACGACAAGGUUAAUCCGAGUGUUUCCUGCUGAAAGGAAUCUUUUGUUAGUUCUAAAACCACUGAUGAAUAAGGGGUGGGCAAGUUCUGGUGUCAGCCGCCGCGGUAAAACCAGCACCUCAAGUGGUCAGGAGGAUUAUUGGGCCUAAAGCAUCCGUAGCCGGUUCUGUAAGUUUCCGGUUAAAUCCACUAGCUCAACUAAUGGGCUGCCGGAAAUACUGCAGAACUAGGGAGUGGGAGAGGUAGACGGUACUCGGGAGGAAGGGGUAAAAUCCUUUGAUCUCUUGAUGACCACCUGUGGCGAAGGCGGUCUACCAGAACACGUUCGACGGUGAGGGAUGAAAGCUGGGGGAGCAAACCGGAUUAGAUACCCGGGUAGUCCCAGCUGUAAACGAUGCAGACUCGGUGAUGCACUGGCUUUUGGCCAGUGCAGUGCCGCGGGGAAGCCGUUAAGUUUGCCGCCUGGGAAGUACGUACGCAAGUAUGAAACUUAAAGGAAUUGGCGGGGGAGCAC
rnacentral:rRNA from 1 species